AUUGAACGCUGGCGGCAGGCUUAACACAUGCAAGUCGAGCGGGGUGAUGGUGCUUGCACUAUCACUUAGCGGCGGACGGGUGAGUAAUGCUUAGGAAUCUGCCUAUUAGUGGGGGACAACAUCUCGAAAGGGAUGCUAAUACCGCAUACGUCCUACGGGAGAAGGCAGGGGAUCACUUGUGACCUUGCGCUAAUAGAUGAGCCUAAGUCGGAUUAGCUAGUUGGUGGGGUAAAGGCCUACCAAGGCGACGAUCUGUAGCGGGUCUGAGAGGAUGAUCCGCCACACUGGGACUGAGACACGGCCCAGACUCCUACGGGGGGCAGCAGUGGGGAAUAUUGGACAAUGGGGGGAACCCUGAUCCAGCCAUGCCGCGUGUGUGAAGAAGGCCUUAUGGUUGUAAAGCACUUUAAGCGAGGAGGAGGCUCUUUUGGUUAAUACCCAAGAUGAGUGGACGUUACUCGCAGAAUAAGCACCGGCUAACUCUGUGCCAGCCGCCGCAGUAA
rnacentral:rRNA from 1 species